GGUAUAGUUGGUUUCAGUUUGAGUGGGUUCAGCAGCUAUUUCAUUUUUAAAAUCUGACCCAUGAAACAAAAGAAAGUUAAUGAUUAAUUAUAGUAUGCUUUUUUAGCAAAUUAAUGUGGUUUGCUUCUGGUUAAGAGUCAUGAUUUCAUUUGGUCCAUUUUCUGUGAAAAAAAAUCCCUAAAAAAUUUCCCUUGUGCCCCCAAGACUGCAAGGCCCUCCCGGCAGACCCUGCCAGUGCUCAGUUCAGCUUCCUAAAAUAUUUCUGAAAACUUAAAGCCAUUCAUUUUUCUCAAUUUUUUUCACUGCUUUUCACAAUCAGCAAGGUGAGACACAAAACGAUCCGGAGCUGAUGAAAACGUUCAGUGGGGAAAGGCACUUGCUGCCGGACCUGAUGACCCAAGUUCAAAUCCCAGAACAGCUUCCACAAGCUGCCAUCUGAUGUGUCCAAAGUUCCAUCUGCCAUAAUUUUGGUUAAAAAUGGAGUCUAUAUUCUUGCUAGGCUGCUUUUCUUAGCAGGCCCAGACUAGAAAUGCUGGGAGCUUACUCAAAGACUGUUCUACUUUUUUGAUUCGAGAAGGUACUGUCUUCAGUUUCCUGCCUGUCUAAAUCCUGCCUUUGGCUCAAAGCUUUGACGCGGCCUUCUCAAGGGCCGCAGUGCCCACCCGCUAGACUUUCCCGAAACACUCACAGCCUCAGACAGACUUUCCUUUUCAGUUGGUUGUUGUUAGUUUUUCAUUUAAGCUAAUAUAUAUUGAGAGGUUGCUCGGCUCUGAGUGCUGUGCUACAGUCAAGCCCAAGGCCACUACGAUGUCUCUGUCCAACUUGUAACGUCUCAAAAGCAAGGGGCAUCUCUUACAGGACAUCUCUUUGUGUCUCUCUUACUGCCUAGAACAGCAUUAGAAAGAUUGAAGAACACAGAUUAAUACACAGUGAAUGAGUAACCAGGGCAUUGACUAGGCUUGUUUCUUCUUGCACUCCACUUCCUGGGUUGGCCCAAUGAAGCAGAAAACCUGGGUUCAAAUCACUGCCUAAACACAGGAAAUGGCAGUUGAUCUUGGGGAAAACAGGAAGGCAUCUUUCUGCUCUUCAAUAUUACUUCUCCUCUUGUCUUCUCUUUUUCCCCCUCCCCCUCUGUCUCUGUCUUGUCUCUCUAUCUCUAUCUCUGUCUCUCCCUCUCUUUCCUCUCUCCCUCCCUCCUUCUCCCUACCCCCAAUUCUCCUUAUUUUUAAAUUCCCCUUCUGGUACACUUAGUUUCUGAAGAGCACAAUAGCCCCUGGCACAUAGUAGGAAUGUCAUAAAGGUUUGCUAGAAUUGCUGAGGAGUGGAAGUAAGCUGGCCUCUAUCACUGUGUUCCCAGCGGAGGAAACAAACCACUCCAUUUCCUUUAGGUUACUUGCUAAAAACCAAUGAUAUUGACUUGACCUCUCCAAAGAUGAGUGAGUUAGAUGGGAGGCAGAGAUGCUCUAAGAGGCUGCCGCAGAGAAGCUGUGUCCUAGAGAAAGCCAUCUUCCUGCACAAGGCUAAAUGGAAUAAUCUAUGUUUGGUAUUAAACCUCACCACCCAUGACGUCAGUGAAGGUCUGCGGGUUCGAGGGGACAGUAGACACUCUGUUUCUGUAGCGAUGUACAAAUGACUGCCUGAUGGUUUCUGUUCCCACUUUUUUUUUCUUGGCCUCCUUUCCAGGAAAUGGACUGGAGGAGCUGGCAAUUGAUUAAAAAUAGGCUUCGUGUGAGGAAAACAAAUACACAUUCGGCAAAAUUAAAGUCUCCAAGCCUCAGAAUGCUGGUUGCCAGCUAUAUUUAGGUCUUCAAUUUAAGUCCCAUUGGCUCUGGCUGCAAAAACCCCUGGGUCAAGGAAAAAGCUUUCUCUUCAUUGCAAGUCUGUCCCCUAUUUAGUCUUAUGGCUGUUUUCUGAACUGAUGGAAACAUAAGCAAGUCCUUUUCUAUUGGUUUUGCCCUUGGGAUCUUGGCCACCCAGACUUGAGAAAGUAGAUUGACAGAUGCUUGGGCUUCUAGGUACAGGGCAGGUUAAAGCUACUCUGGAGCUUAUAGAUCUUUAGAAACAGCAUGGCCCAUAUCCGUUGCCUUGUCUAAUAUUUUCUUUUCCUGGUGAAAAGAUUUUGUUUUUGAUUUUCAACAAAUGCCCCUCUAUUUUCAUCAGCUCUUUAGUCAUGCCUAACCCUAUGCUGACAAAAUGGAAGCAUGUCCUCUGCCCUGUGCAAGUCCACAGUUUAGUACAACUUCUUAACAAAUUCCUUUCUUAUGUGGUUCAUUUACAUAAUGGAAUACUACACAGAUACUAAAAACAAGGACAUCCUGAACUUUGCAGGCAAAUGGAUGGAACUAGAAAAUACCGUCCUUAGUGAGGUAACCCAGACACAAAAGGACAUGUAUGGCAUGCAUUCACUAUUAAGUGGCUAUUAGCC
rnacentral:lncRNA from 1 species